rnacentral:rRNA from 1 species
GCGAACGCUGGCGGCAGGCUUAACACAUGCAAGUCGAACGCACCUUCGGGUGAGUGGCAGACGGGUGAGUAACACGUGGGAACGUGCCCUUCGGUUCGGAAUAACUCAGGGAAACUUGAGCUAAUACCGGAUACGCCCUUUGGGGGAAAGGUUUACUGCCGAAGGAUCGGCCCGCGUCUGAUUAGCUAGUUGGUGGGGUAACGGCCUACCAAGGCGACGAUCAGUAGCUGGUCUGAGAGGAUGAUCAGCCACACUGGGACUGAGACACGGCCCAGACUCCUACGGGAGGCAGCAGUGGGGAAUAUUGGACAAUGGGCGAAAGCCUGAUCCAGCCAUGCCGCGUGAGUGAUGAAGGCCUUAGGGUUGUAAAGCUCUUUUAUCCGGGAAGAUAAU